ACAGGGUCGCCGGUGUCCUCCAGGGCGCCCGGGCAGGCAGGCUCCCCAUCCGGCGGCUCUCGGUGCUGCGUCUGCCGCUUGUGCUUCAUGCGCCGGUUCUGGAACCAGACUUUGACCUGCCUUUCGGUGAGAUCCAGCAAGGCUGCGAUCUCGACGCGGCGUGGCCGGCACAGAGUAAAUUAAGGCUUUCCUUUCGUGGCUUACGUGGCCAGCAGCAUCGUCUUCCCUUCUCCCCUUCCCCAAGAAAAGAUGAGUGAGGAUCCCUGCGUUGGAGGAAGAGGGAGUCGAAAGAGGCUUCCACUCUUUGAAAAAGGCAUCCAUGCUUCUCUGUGACACCUUCCUCCCCCCGAAAACAAGCAGAGUCUAAGAUGUGCAUGUACCCACUCAAGCCUCAAGCUCAUAUCUGUAUCCAUAUCCAGGGACAUGAACAAGAACUCAGCCCAGCCAGGAGAAGGCUGGUUAGCAGAGAAAUGGCAACUGAGCCCGGAGCUGGAACUAGAAACUUUCUGUCAAUGUAACAUCUGCGUGGACCCAAUGGUGGUUGGGCUUCGGGUCACGUGACAUCUUCUUUGUGGCUCCGGAAGAGGAUUGUGAAGAAGUUUAGGUUUCGUGGAAGAAACCGAUAACUGAAAAAAAUCAAGAUUUGGGGGGAAUUACCUACAAAGAUGUAAGGUGUGUUAAUUUGGGCGCUUCUUGGAUUCUACCCUGAGGAGGAGGCGCGUGGUGAGAGGAGAGGUCUGUGUAGGUGGGGUGGGGGUCGCAGGGUCCGUGGUGCUGGCUGGGCGCCAUAGGGGGCGCCCCGUUGUAGUCCAGGUUCCCGGAAGGAUGAUGGGAAAGGUGGUUGAGGCCAUAGAGGGAGGGGCCGGCAGGGGGCGGCAGUGGAUCCGCGUAGCCGCCCCCGCCCACAUACACCGGACUGCCCUGCAUGGUGGGCGUCCCGUAGGCGCCCCCGUUGGCUUGGAGGACGUGCGGCUCAUACUCGGGCGCCGG